CUACAGAGCUCUGCCCCAGAACCUCAGACCUCCUCUAGGCUGGUCCCUACACCUGGUGAGCCAGGUUGUGGCAGGCCCCUUGUCAUAAUAAGCCUUACAAGGCAGGUGGAGGACAAUGUGUAUCCCCUUCAUCAGGGCAAUUCCUGGAAUACUCAGCUUUCUGGAAUUCACUGGUCCCAGGCCUGUGCUAUCCCCUGUGCUAUCCCAAGCAGGGCUAUACAUGGAAAGCAAGAGUUGAGGGGACGAACAGCAGACUUCAGGCCUGGGGAGCCUCGAUGGAUGAUGCCCAAACUCCUCUGGAUACUGAACUGGGAGUUCCAUAACAAAGAGAGCCAAAGACGGACACAGAGGCUAAUGGUCAGAACGGGGAGCUUAGGUUUCUUUGGUACUUAAGCUCCUCAAGAUCACGAUACACCUCUAGCUGAGGGUGCAGAAUGUGCUACUGUCACAGUGCCAUCUGGUGGAAAGACAAGAUCUGUCCUUAGGCAGAGUCCAGCCUGGUGGUGCGCCCAGUGGGCACGAGAAACUCUCUCCACCUUCUGCCAACUUGGCCAUGAGCUGCAGACGUCCACCUGCCGAUCCCAGAUCCAGCUCCUGUUCCCCAUCCGGAAAAGUGAUAUCUGUGCCACCAUCCAGUCGCUCAGUCACAUGGCCAACUCUCAUAGGUCGACCAGCAAGCUCAAAACCAUUCAGCUGUUCCAAGGCCCUCCGGGCACACUCGGAGUCUGAGAACUACAAGAAACACAGGCCAUUAUCAGUCACUUACUGGCCACAGAUAUGCUCUCCAACCCCCACUACCACUGCCUAGUCCUGCUAUCCCAGGAAAACUGCAUGCUCGCUGUGGCACAAAUUAUUGUCUUAGGGAGUGCGACCUAAGAGCCUCAUCCCUCCAAAAUGAUCAUGUGACAAGAACCUUUUCCAACGGACUCAAUGGCAAUCUUCCAGCUCCACUAAGAACCCAACAAAGGCAAAAAGUCUGUUAUCUUUAGGGUGGCCUACACUUAUAAGCUGCUUCACAAGUGAGCAUAUAAAUGGAAGUACGACAGGCUGAGAGUCAAGAUUCCUGGGCUUUUAUUUACACCCUUAGGACUGGUCAGUUUCAAUUCUCAGUCAAAAAGUAGGAAUCUGAAACCUCAGAGUCCAGUGGUAGGAGGGAGUGCACCCUGGAAUGGAGAGCAAGACCGCACCCCACCCCUAUGCCUAUACCAGUGCUGUUGAUCACAGAGAGCUCUACUGUCGUCCAGCAGCACCAGAGCAGCCGCGUAUAGAGAAGAUUCCAGACUGCUGUUGAAGUAUCAAGGGUGUUGACGAGAAAAGCAGCAACACAAGAGCAAAAAGGCCUCACAAAAGCUUUUCUGCAUCCGAGUCACACAAGGAGUUACAAGAGGUUCUUGCCACCAUGAACACCAGAGCUGGCUUUGUUUCCUCUGGUAGCCCCUGCCCUAGGGCCUGGCACAUGGUACUGACAAUUCUUAAGCAGGUGGUAUAGGUGGCCUGCCUUCACUGGAUACUUCUGAAGUGAUCAAUACCCCUGGUCAAACACAACCUACCUCCCCUCUGCCCUGUAGGCAACUGUGGGGGUGUAUGCUGCCUGGACUGAACCCAGAAAAUAUCAGCUUCUAUAAGACACUGUGGCUGGCAGCCAGUCCUCAGCCUGGAGUCACACAGGGCUAGAAGAACCAGUUAUGGGAACUAGAAGCAAUUCUCUUGGGAGUGUUAGGAAAAGCUCAGGAACACAGGACAGUCAAGCUUCAAUGAAACGCAACCCAAAGGAAUUCUUCAUAUUCAACAUUCACUUUGCGCUCUGAAAGAUAACAGCCUUCUUCAUCUCCUCAAAACCUUUCAUGGAAUCAUAAUUUCUGUAGAAAUCUGCAUAUGCCUUCUUUCUUGGUUCAGCCACAGCAAACUUAUAAAAAGCUGCAACCCGCAGGGAUACAGCGAAGGCUCCAACGAUAUGAAAUCGCAGACACUUGGCCAGAAGGCCUCGCAUCUGAGGUUUCAUUAAAGCACUUGAAGUCAUGGUAGUUAUUCUCCUCAAACCUAACGUCCUUCCUAAGAGAAUUAAAAGUAUUUCUUUAUUUAAAUAAUCUCUACACUCACCGUGGGGCUAGAAUUUACAAUUCCAAAGUCAAGAGUGGUACUCUCUUCAACUGAGCCAGCCAGGUGCCAAGUCAUACAGCUAGCUCCUUUUUAUUUUUUAAAAUCUGCUUUUUCCUCACCAAACGAAAUGCUUCUGAUUUCAAUAACUGCUCUUUGUUGACUGCUAGUAUAGGGUAGGAGUAACUUAACACAUGCACAAGAACUUUCACUUAAGUUGACAGUUCUUGUGACACCACCUACAAAGAAAACUUUUCACUCAGGUACUCAGAAAUGAAUGGAUCUAUUUAAAGCACCAACAUAUAUAACAUGAGCACAUUUUGAAACUUGAAAUCUCACUGGGUUUGGCAUAUCUUUUCAGACACCCUAGAAGCAGUAAAGUCCCAAAUACUAUGUAUUUUCAAAUUGGUAGUUUUCAAACUCUUCCUAUGUCCUAAAUUACGGGUCAAAGUCCAUCAACCCCACCCAUUAAAACACUAUAGAGCCUACUCCCCCCGCCCCCCCGGCUCCAAAAACUCCUUUGUGGGGGGCCCACAAUGAACGCAAGUGCCUGGACUUUGUCAUCGCACAGUCAAGACCCCAGCAAGCACUUAGGCCUCACUGCUAAAGGGACAAAGGACAGUAAGAACCACUGUCCGCUCAGUUCAGGCAAAAUUCACCACACGCUGAGUCCCACAGGGUGAUGCGUCUAGGCAGCUGGGCAGAAACAUCUCCAAACUGAAGGCAGCUUAAUUUGGAACAGGAACAGUGAGAAAGGUAAAACAAUCCCCGUGCUGUGCAACAAGCCAAAGCUACACUUUUAAAAAGUGUUCCUGUAAGUAAUGAUUGGCAGCAUCUCUGCGAGGGCCAAUGUCCCAAUGCUAAAACCUUCUAUGUGGCCUAACUAUACUGUACCGCCAAAGAACGUGCGGUCGAAAAACGGGACCAGGGAAAAGCCCAGAGGCCAACACAGUGAACACGAGCCUUCCAGAGACUGUGAAGACUGAGUAAUCUCUCGCAGAGUUCCCUAACCUCUCUGAGUGGUGGCACUAAGAGCUGAAAACCGGUCCUACGAGCCCUCUCAAACCGCGGUGGGUCGACGCUCCCUGCACCCCCGGGCCCCGGUACCGGCGACCCCGAAAGUCAGGGCUGGGACCUGGAAAGAGCGGUCACUGGGAUCCUUGGGACAUCAUCUCUAGGAGAGAGAGCCAAGAGGGUACCGAUCCCUAAAAUCAUGCCAGCGGGCUACAGUUCGCUACGCUGAGGUGGCGAACACUCCCAGACCGAAGUAAGCAAAAAUAUUUUGUUAAAAGUUUGCCUGAUUCUGCUCUUGACGCCAUUUUCUGCCUGUGACGUCAAGGGGAGGCGCCGUGCGGCAACGUCACGCAUUGGUGACGUCGCGGGGGACCGGGUUUCGGGGUUUCUCACCAGUUCCGGGUCCCCGCAGGGGGGUCCCCGGUUUCCGCCGUUCCUUUGGGUGUGUUGAGGGCGCGAAGCACGGCUAUUUUCCAGAGUCUCAGCAGUAGAAGAAGCACUGCAGCCCGAGCUGCUAGUCUUCCCGCAAAAUGGCGGCAGCUCCGCGGUCUUCCAGAACUUUCCCCAAUCUGCGCAGGCGCCGAGACAUUCAGGCGGUGGAACUAAUCUCCCUGGUUUCGCGGCAACAGUCCAAAGUACAGAUUUUCAUUGGCCAAAACCCUAAGCAUGGGUGGAGCCAAACUCAAAUGUCUCUUAGCAACCAUUAAGUUCCCCUCGAUUGGCUAACCUCUCGGAGAGUGGAAGCGUCCUAAUAGCGGCCGCCCAUCGCUCUCUCAUUGGUUAGAUGACUUGCGGAAGGCGGAGAAGGCGGGCGAAGAACCAGCAAGGACCCUCCUGCCUACUCCCGAGCUCCAGGUGACAAGGCCAACGCCGUGGGCGGAGCCAACGAGGAGGUACAAUGGACUUCUUUGCUACUCUCUACUCUUGAUUUCCCAAAAGGGUCACGUGUCGUACUCAUCCGCGACAGCUUCACGGCGAGCACUUGCAUUUGUUUCACGCCGCCCGGAAGGAUGUUGGGCUGGACUUUCCCCUUCUGAGCGUGCUGGCCACGCAGCCCUCCCAACUAUCUCCUCUUACCCUCUGUGCUUGGGCCCGGGAAAACACAAGUGUUGUCACGUUUGUCUAAUUUCACACUCUCUUGUGGUUAUUGCCUGGUUCCACAGCUACACACUUCCCAAUUUUUCGUGUAUGUGCUGCCGAAGCGAGCACAGCUACACACCUCGCACUGCAAAAGUAAACCUGGAAGUUUCUCAGGUGACUCCUUGGGUACAGCAAUACUCAGUCCUCUAACCAGAAAGAGAAGGAACUGAUGUCCACUCUCACGUUCCAAGGGGAUCCAGAAUCCUCACACUUCAGUUGCCCAAUAUGUUAGCUGACAGAAACAUAACUGGUUAGAUCAUUGAGAGAGCCACAGGGUUAGAGGAUCUGUGUUCCAGUCUUGAUUUGAAUAUUAUAUAUCUUUGUGUCAGUUUCAAAUCCUCCUGUAUAAAAUGGAGAAUUGGCACUCUUACAACUUCAAACUCUAACCUUGUGACUUUAUUCAAAUAAAAUAGGUGGCUUCUUGUUGGAGGUGCCUGAAUGGCUUCCAGUUUUCCUCCCAAGAGGUAGCUGGCAGUGCAGCAGCUCAGGAAAGCGGAAGGGAAGCUGGCUUCACUCACUACUCCCAUCUUUCUCCACGAGGGCAAUCUUUUCUCCCCAGAGAAAAGCCUAAUCACAGAUCUUAAUGGACCUCUUUGCAGCUGGUCCCAAAGACCUACACCCAGGAGUCCAAGAGUGGCCAUUAAGCUUCCUAUAUACAGAACAAAGAUCCUUUGGGUCUUGAAUAAAAGCACAGAUCUGAAUAUGCCUAGGUUUAAGUAAGGUGUGAGAAAGCAAAGGCGCAGGGCAGCAGAGUUGGAGCAGGAAAAGGCUGAUAACUUCACUUUAUUUGUAUUUCCUCCCACACAAAACCAUCAAAACAGAAACAGAGAUGGGCAGGGAAAGGGAUGAAAAUGUGUUUAAUCCACAUGUUCUCAGGGCUAUUCCAGGGAGUACUUGAGGCUGAGUGCCUGUUGGAGUAGCUUCAGAUCCAGCACAAAUUCCUCCCUCCCUGGCCUGGAGUCUUUACAGGUUGGUGGCCUGAGCCCUGCAAUUAAUUCUCAUCCUUUGCCCACCUUGCUGUAAGGCAGGAAAGCAGACUGAAAUGCUCCGCUCUGAUGGGCAAAGGGGAAUCACAGCCCACAGAUGUACUGCACUCUCUGUGCUUCAGGAGCGGAACUUUAAGCUGCUUCCAAGGCUCUGAACAUUGUAGGCAGGGCUAGAGGCCAAUGGUGUAUGAGCGGCCUGUGGGGUUAUGAAUAGCAGAACAGACUGGUGCUGUCACAGCCCACUCAUACCACACCUUCUUGGAAUUGCUGCAUCGCCAGAAACGCACACAGAUGGUCUGGCCUUCACGUACUGUAAUGGGCUGCUGCAAGAAGAAAGACAGAGAAGUUUAAGGUAGAACUAACGAACUGUAUAUGGCAAUAUACUACUGAGCUAAGUGUGGAGAGAAAAGGAUAAAACCUGACAUUCCAAUCCUCAUGAAGUUUAUUUGAAGUCUUUCAGAAUGAAUAAUCAGAACUUCACAAUCAGACAUUGAACAGAAAAUCAAAAGUGUGAUGAGGGCCAUGAACAUGCAGAGGAUAUGCACUACAAGAGCACCUAUGAGACGGAACUCAAACCUAGUUCUGUUGGUCAGGGAAAGUUACCAGACAAGAGGAAUGUUUAAGGGGACCAGGAAGGUAAGUUAAAUGGGUGAAGAGAUGAACAAAGAACUUUCCAGGCAAAGGAGAAAAGUGUGAAAACCUGAGGCAGGAAAGAAGACUGUAUUAGAAUCCUGAUGAGUACUGAGUAAUGUACAGAUAUGCUGAAUUAUUAUGUUGUAUACCUGAAACUAACAGAACACUGUUCAUUAUAGUUCAAUUAAAAAAAAAAAAAAAAAAAAAAAAGGUCCA